rnacentral:rRNA from 1 species
GACGAACGCUGGCGGCGUGCUUAACACAUGCAAGUCGAACGGACAGACAGAGAGCUUGCUCUCUUGAAGUUAGUGGCGAACGGGUGAGUAACGCGUAAUCAACCUGCCCUUCAGAGGGGGAUAACAACGGGAAACCGUUGCUAAUACCGCGUACGAUUCAUGAACGGCAUCGUAUAUGAAUGAAAGGUGGCCUCUAUGUAUAAGCCAUCGCUGAAGGAGGGGAUUGCGUCUGAUUAGCUAGUUGGAGGGGUAACGGCCCACCAAGGCGAUGAUCAGUAGCCGGUAUGAGAGGAUGAACGGCCACAUUGGGACUGAGACACGGGCCAAACUCCUACGGGAGGCAGCAGUGGGGAAUCUUCCGCAAUGGACGAAAGUCUGACGGAGCAACGCCGCGUGAGUGAUGAAGGUCUUCGGAUUGUAAAGCUCUGCUAAUCGGGACGAAAGAGUUCUGCGUGAAUAAUGCAGAAAAGUGACGGUACCGGAAUAGAAAGCCACGGCUAACUACGUGCCAGCCGCCGCGGUAA